rnacentral:lncRNA from 1 species
UGGGGCUUGGUUCAUUGUCUCUGCCUCUUUCCUUGUGCCUUUUUCAACCACACAGCUUACAUCUGCUGGGUUGAGCAGUCCUGCACCAGCAAAUCCUUGCACCAUACCUUGAUCUGCUCUAGUUUUUGGUGACUCCAAGGUGUAGUCUCUGCUGUUUGUGACUGAUCAGGUGUUAAACAGCCUGUGUCCCCCCAGGGGGAUAUCCUGUGUCCCCCUUUCCCUUGCCAACACCAGAGGAGGGUAUUCUCAUACAAACUGCAGAGGGAAGAGUGGAAGCUUCUGCCCAGGUGUUCUCCACCCCCUGUGUUUUGGUUUCUUUCCCUCACCUGAUUGAUAUAGACAGUUGAGAUGAAUGGCAAAGAAUUACUCUUUUCCCAGGCCCUAGAGAUGAAGGAAUACCACAUACAAACCUUACAGUCCGAGUCGUAUUUAAAGACCUGUGUCCUCCCCAAAUGUCUUGGGUUGUUGGGGGGACAACAGCGAGCAGAAAUAUCUCUGUGUGAACAUGAAUUUCAGUCUCAAGAGCUGACCGAGCCUCCAGCACGGGAGCAUUGCAAACCUCGUGUCCCUGCAGCGGCGUGGAUGGAGCUGUGGCCCCACGCUGCGCCCCGCUGCAGUGGGGUGGUUUUUCCACUCGAGGGAGCUCCUGCUUUUGAGUAGCUGAACUUCAGCCCUCCCAGCACCUCCAGGCAAAACCCUGCGGGCGACAAGCCCUGGGUGCCAGGGGAGGCUCUGGGAAGAGGCUGACCCCCAGGGAGGUGCCGGUGCCACAGCCUGGGAUGCUCCUGACUGUGCUGGAGUCGUGUCCGAGCCCAUGGCAGCCAGGUGCUUCUGUGUGUCCCAAGAACUUCUGGGUGCAGGCACGAGGUUGUGUGGGAAGGGGCUGGCAGAUGAGACCACAGAAUGGUUAAAAAAUAAGUAGAUGUCAGGGAGAAGGCCUACUUUUCCUGUUGUUUUUUAAGCAGUGCUUGGCCGUACAGUGCCCUGCACGGGGACUUGGCACUGCAGCCUGCGUUUUCCCAAGGAACCAAUCUUUCAAGGAAGCUGACUGCAUGUGAAGGGAAUGACUGGGGGGAUCGUUUUACUCAUAGAAAAAUCUUUAUCUCGCCUGUCCAUGCCUCACAAUAUCAAGGCAAAACCGGAAUCCAGCCAAGUGCUUAGGAAGCAUCCUCAUCUUCGGCAGGACCACGGGGAAGGACUCAGUGGGGGAAGAGCCCUUGCACCCCUGGCCAGAAGGGACUCCCAGAAGUGCAGAUGCUUUUGGAGAAGGCCGAAGGGCAAGAUCCAUCCCUGGCUGCAUUAGAGACAGUUAGACCUGAUUCAUCCCGUCUCCAGCCACUCCCUGGCCUGUCUCCUGAAAGCCAGCGCGCACCGAGGCGUUCCCCAGCCAGGGUCAGGUGUCAGAGACAGAUCUGCAUAAAAUUCAGCUUCGCCUGUGCGCUGCUGUGAGUCAGAGGGUUUGGGAACCGCUCCAAGCUAUUGGAAAAAAACAACUCCCAAAUUAGCUGGGGUGGCUCCCAAGCGAAUCCACCUCCGCGGGGAAGGAGGUGAUCUAAUGAAAGCGUGCGGUCAGAAAUCAAAAGAGCCUGGAAAGCAUUCCAGGCUGCAUAAUAAGAUUUCACAUUUCAUAUCUUCAAAGCAUUAAGUGAACAUUAUCUAAUUAAUCCUCACAACACUCCUCAGAGAUAUUAUCCCUAUUUUACAGACGGAGAAACCAAGGCACAAAGUUAAGUCACUUGCCUGGGGCCAGAGAAGGGAGUGUCAGGGCUGGGAUUAGAGUCCAGGAGUUCCUGGCGCCCAACUUUUUCCUCAGACUACUGGGUCAUGUGUCUUCCCUGCAGGGAAGAUAAUAAUGAGCCCAUAAUUACCCAUACAAAUUCCCAGUGACCAGGCUAACUCGUCUGUAUAAAGCUAUUUGUAAUUCCAAUAAACACGCCCACGAUUUAGCUGCCUCUCCA